rnacentral:piRNA from 1 species
AUAUCUGUGCUUUCCAAUGGUC